GAGUUCCGGUCUUGUUCUACCCUCGGAGGCAGAGAAGAAAUACUGCAGCUCCUACAACAUGCUGCUUUUAGGCGUUGAGCUGCAUUUAUGUGCCAGUAUGAAGCUGAACCACCGUGAACAGGGGAGUGUUGGAUGAUGUGGAAUCACCUUCAUGUUCAUGGCAACGAAGGACCACAUUUUCAAAGGUUUGUGGCCUGUAUGUCCCAUUUAGCGCAGAUGGCCACAUGGAGGAAGCACAGUGAAAAGAUGUAGGAGUGAGAAAGGCAACACUGUAAGGCGAUGCGUGGACUCCGAAGAUGACACGAACAGAUGGCGUCAGUGGAAAGCAAACACACCAGCUCGGGAUUAAUCCAUAAGUCUAAUGCCAGAGGAUUUUGUUACUAUGAAAAUCAAGUCACGUUUGAGCAGAAACAUGUUUAUUAAAACUAGAAUGAUGUAUAAAAUUCAAGCAUUGUUCUUCAUUCAAGUAUGAAAAGUAACACGAUUCCUGGCUGUGUUGGUCAGUCUGUGUUGAAGGGGGAUCUGUAAGAUUUCUUCUUCAAAUUGUCCAGAAAAAUCUGCUCCUCUUGGAGGUAUUCGCGGUCCUGUGGGCACGAGAAACACCCGAUUAUUUAAUGGAAAUUUAAUCCAAAAAAAUUUAUUAAACAUCUGCAGACACUGGAUGUGUAAUUGUGAGCUGUGACCAGUUUCAAUUUCAUGCGUUCAAUAAAAGCUUGUACAAAAAAAA